GAUGAAGAACGUAGCGAAAUGCGAUAAGUAGUGUGAAUUGCAGAAUUCAGUGAAUCAUCGAGUCUUUGAACGCACAUUGCGCCCCCUGGUAUUCCUAGGGGCAUGCCUAUUCGAGCGUCGUUUCCACCCUCAAGCGCAAGCUUGGUGUUGGGGAUCGCCCCUCCCCCGGGAGGCGGCGUCCCUUGAAUCCAUCGGCGGUGCCGGUGCGGCCUAGAGCGCAGCAGCAAUGCAGCUCGUGGGACCGCCUGGAGCCUGCCGCGCAAGACCAGCAGCGGAGACGCGGCUGAACCUCAAACGUCGACCUCGAAUUAGGUAGGGAUACCCGCUGAACUUAAGCAUAUCAAUAAGCGGAGGA
rnacentral:misc_RNA from 1 species